GGGGGUAUAGCCCAGUGGUAGAGCAUUCGACUACAGAUAGAGAGGUUCCUGAUUCAAACCCGGAUGCUCCCU
rnacentral:tRNA from 1 species